rnacentral:rRNA from 1 species
GAUGAACGCUGGCGGCGUGCCUAAUACAUGCAAGUCGAGCGAAUGGAUUAAGAGCUUGCUCUUAUGAAGUUAGCGGCGGACGGGUGAGUAACACGUGGGUAACCUGCCCAUAAGACUGGGAUAACUCCGGGAAACCGGGGCUAAUACCGGAUAACAUUUUGAACCGCAUGGCUCGAAAUUGAAAGGCGGCUUCGGCUGUCACUUAUGGAUGGACCCGCGUCGCAUUAGCUAGUUGGGGAGGUAACGGGCCACCACGGCAACGAUGCGUAGCCGACCGGAGAGGGUGAACGGCCACACUGGGACUGAGACACGGCCCAGACUCCUACGGGAGGCAGCAGUAGGGAAUCUUCCGCAAUGGACGAAAGUCUGACGGAGCAACGCCGCGUGAGUGAUGAAGGCUUUCGGGUCGUAAAACUCUGUUGUUAGGGAAGAACAAGUGCUAGUUGAAUAAGCUGGCACCUUGACGGUACCUAACCAGAAAGCCACGGCUAACUACGUGCCAGCCGCCGCCGUAA